UUCUGAGACUUUGACAAUGACAAGCACUGAGACCAGGGCUUUUACGAACUAUUUUAUCCAUUAAUUCUUGCACAGAAACUGUUGCCAGAUUUGCAAAAUUGGUAUGAUGAAGACUUACACUAUCUGGUUUUGCCUGUAUUUUAUGGCCAUUUAAAACAAUGGUGGUAUUCCAGAGGCAUUACUCAAGGAGGAACAGAGCUUCCAUCCUAAAAUUUUUCAGGGUCAUGAAGUAGUGUCCUAAGCUUACAAGAUCAGUAACUUCACUGAUCAUUCCUAUUCUUUCCAUCUGUCCUCUUUGGUUCUGUUCUGAGAUGUCUUUGUGCAGGGCUCUGAAUAAUAUCUUUGUAGUCUGAAGAGUUACUCACUGAGGAGCAAGAAGAGUUUUGGAUUAUUAUCUACAUCCCCUUUACAGUUUCAGGGCUUUUGGACAGGCAAAUAAGCCAGCUGUCAGCACUUCGUGGCAAGCAAAAGAGUAGGACCAAACAUGAGUGCUGUUGAAACCAGACCUCCUGUGUUUAAUGGCAGUUGGACCUCUCGAGGAAACCACUUGGGCGGAUACUCUGUCGCAUGCGGUUGAGCAAUUCCCUCUGCCAGUGGUUUCAGAGGGAAAGAGCACGUAUGACACCCACAGCCAGAGCCUUCUGGAGUUAAUAAAAUUAUUUGCUUUUUUUCCCCAAAAUAUUUUGUAUAAACCCAUCAAAAUUUCCAAAACAUUGGCACGAUGGAAUACCUGCAGCCACAAGGCUUAAGGAAGGCUACACUGAGAACGCAGGGUUUUCCCAAUUUUGCACUGCAAAAGCAGAAACUCACAGCAAGUGCAGAUAGAAUUCUGUGUCAGGCUAGAUCUGAGCACCCUGCCUAACACAACAGUGUUCGAUCUCUGCUGCCGUUUAUAAGAGGGUUUUUUAAAUUCUUGGAAAAGUCUUAAGGAGUGCCUCAGGAAUUUUACUUCUUCAACUCCUGUAUGAUCAUUCAGCCCAUGGAUUGGAAUGAAAGCUUUUAUGGGAUUUCUGUCUUGAGCUGGACUGAAACAAAAAGCAAAGUUAUCUGUGCAGGCUGGGUUUCCCCAGUCUUGCUCUAAAGCACUCCUGACAGGCAGGAAAAAGCCGAUGUGGGGGCUUUCCAGCCCACGUCCUGCCGUGAAAGCGUAGCCCACACCACCCUGCUGAAGGCUGGCUGUCCUGGCUGUCACCAGGGAGACUGGCUGCUGCCGCUGAGCCACUGGACUGGCCGGAGACAGAGACAGAAGGAGAAAGCAAGGGAGAAGGGAAAUUACAUGCUUGAUUUUGCAGACAAAAUGAAUAUCCCUGCAGUGCCAGAGCGUCUUUAGGAGCAAAAGGUCUAACCGCCUCUGCUUUUAUCACAGCGGGACUUGAAUGCAUGCCUCAGAUUUAGCCCUGUGUUCUCAGACCUCUGCCUGCUUUAACGGCUGUAAAUCACGGGGGGUGCUCCGACUUUAAACUAUCCCAAAUCUGAUCCAGA